AUUCAACUGAUGAGUCCCAAGAAGGACGAAAUGCGCGUCCUGAAU
rnacentral:hammerhead_ribozyme from 1 species